AAGACUUUAGGUUAAAAAAACUUACAACCUUCAAAGUUGUGUAUAUCUAAGACUAAAGGUAAGUCUUA
rnacentral:tRNA from 1 species